rnacentral:rRNA from 1 species
GACGAACCGUGCGAACGUUGUUCGGAAUCACUGGGCUUAAAGGGCGCGUAGGCGGCCCGCCGCGUCCGGGGUGAAAUCCUCCCGCUCAACGGGAGAACGGCCUCGAAUACGGGCGGGCUGGAGGCGGGUAGGGGCAGGCGGAACUGUGGGUGGAGCGGUGAAAUGCGUUGAGAUCCACAGGAACUCCGGUGGCGAAGGCGGCCUGCUGGACCCGAUCUGACGCUGAGGC